rnacentral:tRNA from 1 species
UAAUAUAAAUGAAAUUUUUACAAAAUUUCCUACCUAUUUAGGUAUAUUAU